rnacentral:lncRNA from 1 species
UUCUUUUCUAUCUUUGUGACCCUAGAGAGCUUGAGAAUUCCCAUGUUUUGCUCACAGCAUACCAGAGUGUAGCAUGGGGGAGAUUCAUGUCCUUUUAUUGAUGAAGAAUGGCUUGUAAAUGUAACAUGCCACCACUGGGACAUGUCUGUGGUUGAGAGGAGGAAACCCUGUCUCAGAGCACUGCAGGCAUUGUCUAAAGAAGCCCCAAAUUUCUGUAAAAACAACCUAAACAUUCAAAGAAAGUUCUUUGGAAAGUAAAGAGUAAAGCAGAUGUCUCGGGGCUGGAGCCUGCAGCCGAGCCUGCUGCGUGUUAACCAUCACGGGCCGGGCUGCCGCAUUUAACACAAUUCGAGAGCAGCAAGGCAAAAAGAAAAGCUGGGAGCAAAGGGAAGCAGUAAGGACAGACUCCAGUCCACCCUGCUCGCUGCACAAGCCUCCCCAACCCCCCGAGAUCAAACACACUCAAUAGAUACUUACAGCCCAUUCGAUAGCGCUGAUCCCGCGUCCCCGCGGUGCCGUGUGUGCCCCGGGCUGCCAAGCAGGCACAUCUGGAUGUGGUUAUGAGAGACAUCGCUCGGCUCUCAGCUCAGCCUGCCAGCGGAGCCCGGGACACGCUGGGGGCGCCGAGCAGCGCCGGGGCCGGGGCCGCUCCCGCAGCAGCGAGCGGAGCUGCCGGGCCGGGGCUGGGAUCGGGCCGGGGCUGCGGCUGCGGCGGGGCCGGGAACGGGGCUGGGCUCGGAGCUGGGGCUGGGACCGGGAGCAGGGCUGGGAUCGGGACUGGAAUCGGAGCCGGGAUCGUGGCUGGGAUAGGGCCGGGAUCGUGGCGGCCCCGAGAGCAGCCCCGACCCCGCAGCGAGCCGAGCCCGGCGAUCGCGGCAGAGCCGGGUCCCGGCCAAGGCCGACACGUGAUGGGCCCGGGAGCGCCGAUGGCUCCGGCGGGACAGGGCGGAGGUGUCCAGAGGGAGAACGCUCAGCCAGGUAGGACCAGCCUUGGAAUGUCAGGAGAAAUGUGUGACUUUGGGCAGAGCCCUGCUGGGCAGCCACCCUCAGGCUGGAUGCUGCUCUGGAGCUGGUGAUCACCAAACGUGGCCAAAACUUCAGUGACCCCUCUCUUACUACUGCAGAUAUAUCUCAGUAUAUGGAGAAGAGCAGGGAUAAGGCCAAUUUCUCCAGCAGCAGCACUGUCUAGGGCUUAUCUCCCACCAUGAUGACUGCUCAUGGAAAAGGAGGUAUGAAACAGCCACUGCUAUGUCCCAAACCAUGCCAUGUGCUGGAGACAGUUUCACCAUGGAAUGUCACUGAAAAACCCUGUUCCUUCAAAUUUCUGCAAUGAAGGCACCUGUGAAUGCUGUUGGAGAUUAAACAUUCCAGAAAGGUUGCCAGGGGCUCCAGCACUUAAUGGCACUUCUGAGAGGGAAUUCUAACAGGGAAUAUGUGAGUAAGAGGAAAUACACAUGCCAGUCACUGGCAGAAAGAAAACGUUUACAUUCAGAAGAAAGCAUUCAUGGUUAGUCCUCUGCAAAACAGUAACAGCAGUAAAAAGUUUUCUGGACUUGAAGUACAUGCUGAAUAACAAGAUUUGCUCAUUUUGAGCAUUAACAUGCUACAAAAACUAGUAAUUGUCACUACUCAGUGGCUGCCUUGUAACUAUAUGUGCAACUUGUGCACAUAUAGCUGGUCUGAGAGCUUAGAAAAAUCAAUUGCAAAUGAGACAGCAGGCUAUGCAUGUGACCUUCUUUUCUUAAAAAACAAGGUCAUAUGCAUUUGGCAUAUGACAACAAUUACUUUUCUUUAAAAAGUAAUUUCUGCAAGAUCAAGAGCAAACUCUCUUGCUCUUAAAGUAAAUUUCAAGUUUCUGACUUUUUAAUUUUUUAAAAUACAAUUUUUCAGAUGGGUUUCUGCCAAACGGAGUUCCCCAGCUGGGAUUUGGCAGGAAAGCUAAAUACUCUGAGGUAUGGAUCCACAGCAGCCUAAAUUAGGCAAGAUCAGCACCACUGUGUUGGUCCCAAAAGCAAAACUGUCAGAGAGGUCAUUGCUUCAUUUUGGGAAGACCACUGGUACUACUGGAAGGGAGAGGGUGGGAUGUGUGAGCAGGAAUGGAGGGGAUGAAACUGCAAUGGCACUGAUAUAAAAUGGCUUAAUAAAAGGUGAUGGAGCCACA